UACGUAGGGGGCUAGCGUUGUCCGGAAUCAUUGGGCGUAAAGCGCGUGUAGGCGGUCCGGUAAGUCCGCUGUGAAAGUCGAGGGCUCAACCCUCGAAUGCCGGUGGAUACUGUCGGGCUUGAGUACGGGAGAGGCGAGUGGAAUUCCUGGUGUAGCGGUGAAAUGCGCAGAUAUCAGGAGGAACACCGAUUGCGAAGGCAGCUCGCUGGAACGUUACUGACGCUGAGACGCGAAAGCGUGGGGAGCAAACAGG
rnacentral:rRNA from 1 species